CCUACGGGUGGCAGCAGUGGGGAAUAUUGCACAAUGGGGGAAACCCUGAUGCAGCGACGCCGCGUGAGUGAAGAAGGAAUUCGUUAUGUAAAGCUCUAUCAGCAGGGAAGAAAAUGACGGUACCUGAGUCAGAAGCCACGGCUAACUACGUGACAGCAGCCGCGGUAAUACGUAGGGGGCAAGCGUUAUCCGGAUUUACUGGGUGUAAAGGGAGCGUAGACGGUAGUGCAAGUCUGGGGUGAAAGGCGGGGGCUCAACCCCCGGAUUGCACUGGAUACUGUACGGCUGGAGUGCAGGAGAGGUAAGUGGAAGUCCUGGUGUAGCGGUGAAAUGCGUAGAUAUUAGGAAGAACACCAGUGGCGAAGGCGGCUUACUGGACUGUAACUGACGUUGAGGCUCGAAAGCGUGGGGAGCAAACAGGAUUAGAUACCCCUGUAGUC
rnacentral:rRNA from 1 species